rnacentral:rRNA from 2 species
GGCGCGUUGCGGCCUGCCUAUACAUGCAGUCGAACGAGUUCUCGUUGAUGAUCGGUGCUUGCACCGAGAUUCAACAUGGAACGAGUGGCGGACGGGUGAGUAACACGUGGGUAACCUGCCCUUAAGUGGGGGAUAACAUUUGGAAACAGAUGCUAAUACCGCAUAGAUCCAAGAACCGCAUGGUUCUUGGCUGAAAGAUGGCGUAAGCUAUCGCUUUUGGAUGGACCCGCGGCGUAUUAGCUAGUUGGUGAGGUAAUGGCUCACCAAGGCGAUGAUACGUAGCCGAACUGAGAGGUUGAUCGGCCACAUUGGGACUGAGACACGGCCCAAACUCCUACGGGAGGCAGCAGUAGGGAAUCUUCCACAAUGGACGCAAGUCUGAUGGAGCAACGCCGCGUGAGUGAAGAAGGCUUUCGGGUCGUAAAACUCUGUUGUUGGAGAAGAAUGGUCGGCAGAGUAACUGUUGUCGGCGUGGCCAACCAGAAAGCCACGGCUAACUACGUGCCAGCAGCCGCGGUAAUACGUAGGUGGCAAGCGUUAUCCGGAUUUAUUGGGCGUAAAGCGAGCGCAGGCGGUUUUUUAAGUCUGAUGUGAAAGCCCUCGGCUUAACCGAGGAAGCGCAUCGGAAACUGGGAAACUUGAGUGCAGAAGAGGACAGUGGAACUCCAUGUGUAGCGGUGAAAUGCGUAGAUAUAUGGAAGAACACCAGUGGCGAAGGCGGCUGUCUGGUCUGUAACUGACGCUGAGGCUCGAAAGCAUGGGUAGCGAACAGGAUUAGAUACCCUGGUAGUCCAUGCCGUAAACGAUGAAUGCUAGGUGUUGGAGGGUUUCCGCCUCUUCAGUGCCGCAGCUAACGCAUUAAGCAUUUCCGCCUGGGGAGUACGACCGCAAGGUUGAAACUCAAAGGAAUUGACGGGGGCCCGCACAAGCGGUGGGAGCAUGUGGUUUAAUUAAACGCGAAGAACCUUACCAGGUCUUGACAUCUUUUGAUCACCUGAGAGAUCAGGUUUCCCCUUCGGGGGCAAAAUGACAGGUGGUGCAUGGUUGUCGUCAGCUCGUGUCGUGAGAUGUUGGGUUAAGUCCCGCAACGAGCGCAACCCUUAUGACUAGUUGCCAGCAUUUAGUUGGGCACUCUAGUAAGACUGCCGGUGACAAACCGGAGGAAGGUGGGGAUGACGUCAAAUCAUCAUGCCCCUUAUGACCUGGGCUACACACGUGCUACAAUGGAUGGUACAACGAGUUGCGAGACCGCGAGGUCAAGCUAAUCUCUUAAAGCCAUUCUCAGUUCGGACUGUAGGCUGCAACUCGCCUACACGAAGUCGGAAUCGCUAGUAAUCGCGGAUCAGCACGCCGCGGUGAAUACGUUCCCGGGCCUUGUACACACCGCCCGUCACACCAUGAGAGUUUGUAACACCCGAAGCCGGUGGCGUAACCCUUUAGGGAGCGAGCCGUCUAAAGGUGAAACCAAAUUUU